UACGUAGGUGGCAAGCGUUGUCCGGAUUUAUUGGGUUUAAAGGGUGCGUAGGCGGUCUUAUAAGUCAGUGGUGAAAUACGGCAGCUCAACUGUCGAGGUGCCAUUGAUACUGUAGGACUUGAGUACAGACGAGGUAGGCGGAAUUGACGGUGUAGCGGUGAAAUGCUUAGAUAUCGUCAAGAACACCGAUAGCGAAGGCAGCUUACUAGGCUGUAACUGACGCUGAGGCACGAAAGUGUGGGGGAUCAAAACAGGG
rnacentral:rRNA from 1 species